rnacentral:lncRNA from 1 species
AGACAAUUAUAAGGGAAUGUGGCAUGUAAGUUAAUACUAUGUAUUGUCCACUACCCACGAUUGUAUCGUGGAUCCUAAUUCUCUAUAGUGGCUACCGAUAGAUAAGAUAACAUACUACUUUCCCUUUCCAUAAAAAGGGGUACAAAGCAUCCUUUGGUGAGCUCUUUGGGACUCUCAAGAACUAGAAACACUCACUCAUUCUCUCCCUCUUGCUAUUUCCAAAGCUUCGGCUAACUUAAGUAUCAAAGGAUCCUCUAUUAGAGAAUUUUCAAUAAUUGAACUUCUUUUUUAAGAUCUGGAUGCCAUCAUUCAUUCUCGAAUAUCCAUUAACCAUCGAGCCUUGGAUUAAACUUGCACUAACCACAGCCAUUCUCUUCUCAUAUUGGAGUCUUAUGGCAACACUAAGCAUGAUCUUUUUGAGGAAGAACAAAAUAUAUCAUAAUAUGAGUUAAUUGCAAUGGACAUUAGAAUAUAGGUGAUCAAUAAUUUAGGUUGAAGAAGUUGCAUAAGAUUAACAAAAGAAAUUAUGUGAAGAUGUUUAAUGCACAAAAAUCGAUAAAUACAUUUGAAAACCUAUAACAACAUAAGAUCACAUCUAAAAGGAC